UGGGGAAUAUUGCACAAUGGGCGAAGGCCUGAUGCAGCAACGCCGCGUGAGUGAUGAAGGCCUUCGGGUUGUAAAGCUCUGUCUUCUGGGACGAUAAUGACGGUACCAGAGGAGGAAGCCACGGCUAACUACGUGCCAGCAGCCGCGGUAAUACGUAGGUGGCAAGCGUUGUCCGGAUUUACUGGGCGUAAAGGAUGCGUAGGCGGAUACUUAAGUCAGAUGUGAAAAUCCCGGGCUUAACUUGGGAACUGCAUUUGAAACUGGGUAGCUAGAGUGCGGGAGAGGAAAGUGGAAUUCCUAGUGUAGCGGUGAAAUGCGUAGAGAUUAGGAAGAACACCAGUGGCGAAGGCGACUUUCUGGACCGUAACUGACGCUGAGGCAUGAAAGCGUGGGGAGCAAACA
rnacentral:rRNA from 1 species